UCGUUUAUUUGAUAGUACCUUACUACUUGGAUAACCGUGGUAAUUCUAGAGCUAAUACAUGCUAAAAACCCCGACUUCGGGAGGGGUGUAUUUAUUAGAUAAAAAACCAAUGCCCUUCGGGGCUCCUUGGUGAAUCAUGAUAACUUAACGAAUCGCAUGGCCUUGCGCCGGCGAUGGUUCAUUCAAAUUUCUGCCCUAUCAACUUUCGAUGGUAGGAUAGUGGCCUACCAUGGUAUCAACGGGUAACGGGGAAUUAGGGUUCUAUUCCGGAGAGGGAGCCUGAGAAACGGCUACCACAUCCAAGGAAGGCAGCAGGCGCGCAAAUUACCCAAUCCCGACACGGGGAGGUAGUGACAAUAAAUACUGAUACAGGGCUCUUUUGGGUCUUGUAAUUGGAAUGAGUACAAUUUAAAUACCUUAACGAGGAACAAUUGGAGGGCAAGUCUGGUGCCAGCAGCCGCGGUAAUUCCAGCUCCAAUAGCGUAUAUUAAAGUUGUUGCAGUUAAAAAGCUCGUAGUUGAACCUUGGGCCUGGCUGGCCGGUCUGCCUCACCGCAUGUACUGGUUCGGCCGGGCCUUUCCUCCUGGGGAUCCGCAUGCCCUUCACUGGGUGUGUUGGGGAACCAGGACUUUUACUUUGAAAAAAUUAGAGUGUUCAAAGCAGGCCUUUGCUCGAAUACAUUAGCAUGGAAUAAUAGAAUAGGACGUGCGGUCCUAUUUUGUUGGUUUCUAGGACCGCCGUAAUGAUUAAUAGGGAUAGUCGGGGGCAUCAGUAUUCAGUUGUCAGAGGUGAAAUUCUUGGAUUUACUGAAGACUAACUACUGCGAAAGCAUUUGCCAAGGAUGUUUUCAUUAAUCAGUGAACGAAAGUUAGGGGAUCGAAGACGAUCAGAUACCGUCGUAGUCUUAACCGUAAACUAUGCC
rnacentral:rRNA from 1 species